GAUGAACGCUGGCGGCGUGCCUAACACAUGCAAGUCGAGCGAACGGACGCGAAGUUUGCUUUUCUGAUGUUAGCGGCGGACGGGUGAGUAACACGUGGAUAACCCACCUAUAAGACUGGGAUAACCUCGGGAAACCGGAGAUAAUACCGGAUAAUAUUUUGAACCGCAUGGGUCAAAAGUGAAAGACGGCCUUGCUGUCACUUAUCGAUGGAUCCGCGCUGCAUUAGGUAGUUGGUAAGGUAACGGCUUACCAAGGCAACGAUGCAUAGCCGACCUGAGUGACUGGUCGGCCACACGAGAGCGGGGACAGGGUCCUGGCUCCUGCGAGAGGCAGCAGUAGGGAAUCUUCCGCAAUAGUCGAGAGUCUGACAGAGCGACGCCGCGUGUGUGAUGAAGGUCUUCGGAUCGUGAUACUCGGUUAUGAGUGGUGAACAUAUGUGGAAUUAGCUGUACACAGCAUGACGGUACCUAGUCAAGAAGCCACGGCUAACUACGUG
rnacentral:rRNA from 1 species